rnacentral:snoRNA from 1 species
GGAUAGAUGAAGCCACCCAUACGUGCAUUCCUCAGAGAAGCUGAAGAAAAAUUAGUUUAAAAUCCCUUCCUUCUCUCCUUUCACACAGAUCU